rnacentral:misc_RNA from 1 species
GAUGAAGAACGUAGCGAAAUGCGAUACGUAAUGUGAAUUGCAGAAUUCAGUGAAUCAUCGAAUCUUUGAACGCAUAUUGCGCUCUUUGGUAUUCCGAAGAGCAUGCUUGUUUGAGUAUCAGUAAACACCUCAAAGCUUUUGGAUUUUUUAAUCGAAAAGCUUUGGACUUGAGCAAUCCCAACACCAAUCUUUUUGAGAUCGGUGGCGGGUUGCUUGAAAUGCAGGUGCAGCUGGACAUUCUCCUGAGCUAAAAGCAUAUUCAUUUAGUCCCGUCAAACGGAUUAUUACUUUUGCUGCAGCUAACAUAAAGGGAGUUUGACCGUAUUGGCUGACUGAUGCAGGAUUUCACAAGGGUCGGCAACGAUUCUUGUUAAACUCGAUCUCAAAUCAAGUAAGACUACCCGCUGAACUUAAGCAUAUCAAUAAGCGGAGGA